UCCUUGGAGGACUAGUGGUUAGGCUACAGUGCUCUCACUGCUGCAGCCCGGGUUCGAGUCCCGGCCACUGGG